UUUGAUUUUCUUCGGAAAUGAAGAUUUUGUGACUGAGUGGCGGACGGGUGAGUAACGCGUGGGUAACCUGCCUCAUACAGGGGGAUAACAGUUGGAAACGACUGCUAAUACCGCAUAAGCGCACAGUACUGCAUGGUACAGUGUGAAAAACUCCGGUGGUAUGAGAUGGACCCGCGUUUGAUUAGCUAGUUGGUGAGGUAACGGCCCACCAAGGCGACGAUCAAUAGCCGACCUGAGAGGGUGACCGGCCACAUUGGGACUGAGACACGGCCCAAACUCC
rnacentral:rRNA from 1 species